rnacentral:rRNA from 1 species
UAAUUCGAGGCUACACGAAGAACCUUACCUGGGCUUGACAGGACGGUGGUAGGGAACCGAAAGGGGACCGACUUCGGGAGCCGUCACAGGUGCUGCAUGGCUGUCGUCAGCUCGUGUCGUGAGAUGUUCGGUUAAGUCCGGUAACGAGCGCAACCCUCGUCGCCAGUUACAGGUUGUCUGGCGAGACUGCCCGUACCAAGCGGGAGGAAGGUGGGGAUGACGUCAAGUCAGCAUGGCCUUGAUGUCCAGGGCGACACACACGCUACAAUGGCCGGUACAAUGGGGCGCCAACCCGCGAGGGGGAGCCAAUCCCAGAAAACCGAUCGUAGUCCGGAUCGCACUCUGCAACUCGAGUGCGUGAAGUCGGAAUCGCUAGUAAUCGCGGAUCAGCAUGUCGCGGUGAAUACGUUCCCGGGUCUUGUACACACCGCCCGUCACACCAUGGGAGUGGGUUUUGCCAGAAGUGGGUAGCCUAACCGCAAGGAGGGCGCUUACCACGGCAGGGCUCAUGACUGGGGUGAAGUCGUAAAAGGUAACCAAGGCGAAUUCCGAGCACA